rnacentral:rRNA from 1 species
UACGUAGGGUGCGAGCGUUAAUCGGAAUUACUGGGCGUAAAGGGUGCGCAGGCGGUUGAGUAAGACAGAUGUGAAAUCCCCGAGCUUAACUCGGGAAUGGCAUAUGUGACUGCUCGACUAGAGUGUGUCAGAGGGAGGUGGAAUUCCACGUGUAGCAGUGAAAUGCGUAGAUAUGUGGAAGAACACCGAUGGCGAAGGCAGCCUCCUGGGACAUAACUGACGCUCAGGCACGAAAGCGUGGGGAGCAAACA